GAUGAACGCUGGCGGCGUGCCUAAUACAUGCAAGUCGAGCGAACGGACGAGAAGCUUGCUUCUCUGAUGUUAGCGGCGGACGGGUGAGUAACACGUGGAUAACCUACCUAUAAGACUGGGAUAACUUCGGGAAACCGGAGCUAAUACCGGAUAAUAUUUUGAACCGCAUGGUUCAAAAGUGAAAGACGGUCUUGCUGUCACUUAUAGAUGGAUCCGCGCUGCAUUAGCUAGUUGGUAAGGUAACGGCUUACCAAGGCAACGAUGCAUAGCCGACCUGAGAGGGUGAUCGGCCACACUGGAACUGAGACACGGUCCAGACUCCUACGGGAGGCCGCAGUAGGGAAUAUUCCGCAAUGGGCGAAAGCCUGACGGAGCAAAGCCGCGUGAGUGAUGAAGGUCUUCGGAUCGUAAAACUCUGUUAUUAGGGAAGAACAUAUGUGUAAGUAACUGUGCACAUCUUGACGGUACCUAAUCAGAAAGCCACGGCUAACUACGUG
rnacentral:rRNA from 1 species